UGGGGAAUAUUGGACAAUGGGCGAAAGCCUGAUCCAGCCAUGCCGCGUGUGUGAAGAAGGUCUUCGGAUUGUAAAGCACUUUAAGUUGGGAGGAAGGGCUAUUACCUAAUACGUGAUGGUUUUGACGUUACCGACAGAAUAAGCACCGGCUAACUCUGUGCCAGCAGCCGCUGUAAUACAGAGGGUGCAAGCGUUAAUCGGAAUUACUGGGCGUAAAGCGCGCGUAGGUGGUUCGUUAAGUUGGAUGUGAAAGCCCCGGGCUUAACCUGGGAACUGCAUUCAAAACUGACGAGCUAGAGUAUGGUAGAGGGUGGUGGAAUUUCCUGUGUAGCGGUGAAAUGCGUAGAUAUAGGAAGGAACACCAGUGGCGAAGGCGACCACCUGGACUGAUACUGACACUGAGGUGCGAAAGCGUGGGGAGCAAACAGG
rnacentral:rRNA from 1 species